UACGUGGGGGGCAAGCGUUGUCCGGAUUCAUUGGGCGUAAAGAGCUCGUAGGCGGCUUGGCAAGUCGGGUGUGAAAACUCCAGGCUCAACCUGGAGACGCCACCCGAUACUGCCAUGGCUUGAGUCCGGUAGGGGACCACGGAAUUCCUGGUGUAGCGGUGAAAUGCGCAGAUAUCAGGAGGAACACCGGUGGCGAAGGCGGUGGUCUGGGCCGGUACUGACGCUGAGGAGCGAAAGUGUGGGGAGCGAACAGG
rnacentral:rRNA from 1 species